AGAGUUUGAUCAUGGCUCAGGACGAACGCUGGCGGCGUGCUUAACACAUGCAAGUCGAACGGAAAGGCCCUUCGGGGUACUCGAGUGGCGAACGGGUGAGUAACACGUGGGUGAUCUGCCCUGCACUCUGGGAUAAGCCUGGGAAACUGGGUCUAAUACCGGAUAGGACCGCAUGCUUCAUGGUGUGUGGUGCAAAGCUUUUGCGGUGUGGGAUGAGCCCGCGGCCUAUCAGCUUGUUGGUGGGGUAAUGGCCUACCAAGGCGACGACGGGUAGCCGGCCUGAGAGGGUGACCGGCCACACUGGGACUGAGAUACGGCCCAGACUCCUACGGGAGGCAGCAGUGGGGAAUAUUGCACAAUGGGCGCAAGCCUGAUGCAGCGACGCCGCGUGAGGGAUGACGGCCUUCGGGUUGUAAACCUCUUUCAGUAGGGACGAAGCGAAAGUGACGGUACCUACAGAAGAAGGACCGGCCAACUACGUGCCAGCAGCCGCGGUAAUACGUAGGGUCCGAGCGUUGUCCGGAAUUACUGGGCGUAAAGAGCUCGUAGGUGGUUUGUCGCGUUGUUCGUGAAAACUCACAGCUUAACUGUGGGCGUGCGGGCGAUACGGGCAGACUAGAGUACUGCAGGGGAGACUGGAAUUCCUGGUGUAGCGGUGGAAUGCGCAGAUAUCAGGAGGAACACCGGGGGCGAAGGCGGGUCUCUGGGCAGUAACUGACGCUGAGGAGCGAAAGCGUGGGUAGCGAACAGGAUUAGAUACCCCGGUAGUCCAA
rnacentral:rRNA from 1 species